rnacentral:rRNA from 1 species
CCUACGGGAGGCAGCAGUGGGGGAUAUUGCACAAUGGGGGGAACCCUGAUGCAGCGACGCCGCGUGGGUGAAGGCGCGUUUCGGCGCUUAAAGCCCUUUCGGCAGGGAAGAAGGAGGACGGUACCUGACUAAGAAGCCCCGGCUAACUACGUGCCAGCAGCCGCGGGAAUACGUAGGGGGCAAGCGUUAUCCGGAAUUACUGGGGGUAAAGGGGGCGCUGAGGGUAGCGGAAGCCAGGGGGGAAAUCCCGGGGGCCAAACCCCGGACUGCUGUUGAAACUGGGCGGCGGGAGUGCGGGAGGGGCAGGCGGAAUGCCUGGUGUAGCGGUGAAAUGCGUAGAUAUCAGGCGGAACACCGAUGGCGAAGGCGGCCUGCUGGACUGCGACUGACGUUGAGGCCCGAAAGCGUGGGGAGCAAACAGGAUUAGAUACCCUGGUAGUC